GAUGAACGCUGGCGGCGUGCCUAAUACAUGCAAGUCGAGCGAACAGACGAGGAGCUUGCUCCUCUGACGUUAGCGGCGGACGGGUGAGUAACACGUGGAUAACCUACCUAUAAGACUGGGAUAACUUCGGGAAACCGGAGCUAAUACCGGAUAAUAUAUUGAACCGCAUGGUUCAAUAGUGAAAGACGGUUUUGCUGUCACUUAUAGAUGGAUCCGCGCCGCAUUAGCUAGUUGGUAAGGUAACGGCUUACCAAGGCAACGAUGCGUAGCCGACCUGAGAGGGUGAUCGGCCACACUGGAACUGAGACACGGUCCAGACUCCUACGGGAGGCAGCAGUAGGGAAUCUUCCGCAAUGGGCGAAAGCCUGACGGAGCAACGCCGCGUGAAUGAUGAAGGUCUUCGGAUCGUAAAACUCUGUUAUUAGGGAAGAACAAAUGUGUAAGUAACUAUGCACGUCUUGACGGUACCUAAUCAGAAAGCAACGGCUAACUACGUG
rnacentral:rRNA from 1 species